GUGCAGUGGGGCCGGAAACGUUGCGAGGCGAAGCGCUCCUACCCUGCGCCCUCGUGAGCGCGGGUGGGUCACGUUGAGUUGGAGGCCAUCCUGGUCCACCCGGCUAUCAACUAGUGAACCCGCCGGCCAUGGGAGGAAAAGCAGGCUCAGCUGGGUGUGGUGGCACACACCUGGAAUCCCAGCACUUGGGAAGCUGAGGCAGAAGUCUAAGGCUGCGCUGCCUAGUUUAUGUCAACUUGGCACAAGUUUUUAGAAGACCAUGAAUAGCCUGGUGCAUGCAGCUUCUGAAGGGCAGCACUGAGAGCAGAGGGACCACACAGAAGCUAAAUAAUGCGUCCUGCCAAGACGGGCUUAUUUAGUCCUUGGAGGCAGUAAAUGUGACCUCGUGGGACAAGGACUUUGCAGACGUGUUUAGGAAAUCGGACUCAGAAAAAAAAAAUUGGGGCUGGAUUGAUGGCUCAGAGGUUAAGAGCACUGGCUGCUCUUUCAGAGGUCCUGAGUUCAAUUCCCAGCAACCACAUGGUGGCUCACAACCAUCUGUAAUGAGAUCUGGUGCCCUCUUCUGCUGUAUAUGCAUACAUGUAAAUAAUAAAUCUUAAUAAAAAAAUCCGACUCAAAGAAAUCAUCAUAGAUUAUACUGGUGGCAC